AGAAAGAUCUGGUUGAUCCUGCCGGAGGUUACUGCUAUCGAGGUUCGACUAAGCCAUGCGAGUCGAAUGUAGCAAUACAUGGCGUACUGCUCAGUAACACGUGGAUAACCUGCCCUUAGGACGGGGAUAAACCCGGGAAACUGGGUAUAAUACCCGAUAGAUCUCGAUUGCUGGAAUGCAUCGAGUUCUAAAGUUCCGGCGCCUAAGGAUGGAUCUGCGGCCUAUCAGGUAGUAGUGGGUGUAGCGUACCUACUAGCCUACGACGGGUACGGGUUGUGAGAGCAAGAGCCCGGAGAUGGAUUCUGAGACACGAGUCCAGGCCCUAUGGGGCGCAGCAGGCGCGAAACCUCCACAAUGAGCGAAAGCUUGAUGGGGUUACUCCGAGUGUCGUCCGCUAAGGAUGACUUUUCUUAAGUCUAAAUAGCUUGAGGAAUAAGGGGAGGGCAAGUCUGGUGUCAGCCGCCGCGGUAAUACCAGCUCCCCGAGUGGUCGGGACGGUUAUUUGGCCUAAAGCAUCCGUAGCCCGUCCUGCAAGUCUUCCGUUAAAUCUAACGGCUCAACCGUUAGGCUGCGAAAGAUACCGCAGGACUAGGGGACGGGAGAGGCGGACGGUACUCCGGGGGUAGGGGUAAAAUCCUCUGAUCCUCGGAAGACCACCAGCGGCGAAGGCGGUCCGCCAGAACGUGCCCGACGGUGAGGGAUGAAAGCUGGGGGAGCGAACCGGAUUAGAUACCCGGGUAGUCCCAGCCGUAAACGAUGCGAGCUAGGUGACAGAAUGGCCUAAGGGCCAUUCUGCUGCCGCAGGGAAGCCGUUAAGCUCGCCGCCUGGGGAGUACGGACGCAAGUCUGAAACUUAAAGGA
rnacentral:rRNA from 1 species